CUACGGGGGGCACCAGCAGGGAAUAUUGCACAAUGGACGGAAGUCUGAUGCAGCGACGCCGCGUGGAUGAUGAAGGCCCUCGGGUUGUAAAAUCCUUUUCAGGGGGACGAGGAAGGACGGUACCCUUGGAAUAAGCGUCGGCUAACUACGUGCCAGCAGCCGCGGUAAGACGUAGGACGCAAGCGUUAUCCGGAUUUACUGGGCGUAAAGCGUCUGUAGGCGGAAUGGUAAGUUGGACGUGAAAGCUCCGGGCUCAACCCGGAGAGGUCGUUCAAUACUGCCAAACUAGAGGGCAUCAGAGGAGCGUGGAAUUUCCGGUGUAGCGGUAAAAUGCGCAGAUAUCGGAAGGAACACCAAUGGCGAAGGCAGCGCUCUGGGAUGAACCUGACGCUAAGAGACGAAAGCUAGGGGAGCGAACAGGAUUAGAUACCCGCGUAGUC
rnacentral:rRNA from 1 species